CUCCAGAGAUGGAGGCUGAGGAGGCCCACUACUGUGCAGACUGGGAAGGUACAUGCCUGAAUCUCUAAGCUCCUCACAUCAUUUUACCAACUCUACAUUUGUUGCACUUAUAGUAGUAAUCAUUUUUUAUUACAAGAAGAUGUUUUAGGCAAUCAAAAUAUCAUACUGUAUAUCAAACGAUGCAUGUUCUUCUGUACCAAUGCAGGCUACCCAGAUGAGAGCUACCCAGAGUAUGAUGAGCCCUAUAAAAGACGUGGAUUUGACAUCUUUACACUGGAGGCUCCCUCCCACCAGCCCACCGCCGAGGCCCUAGCAGAGAGGAUGGUGCAAGAGGAGGAAGAGAUUAUGGCGAGGAAACUAUCCAUAGUGAAAGAAGAGGAUGAAGAGGCAGAGGAGGAGGAGGAGGACGAUGAGGAGGAGGAGGAGGAGGAGGAAGAUGAGGAUAAAGAGGAAGAAGUGGAGGACAUGGAGGAAGAGAUAGAGGAAGAGAUAGAGGAAGAGGAGGAAGAGGAGGAAGAGGAUGAAGAGGCGGAGGAAGAGGAAGAGGAAGAGGAAGAAGAGAAAGCAGAGAAAAUACAGUUGCUCAGUCUUCCUUCAUGCCAGCCUGCUGCAGAAAGAAAGCAGGAGAGACUUGGUUUGGAGGUGAGCAAAGAGCUACAGUGUCUCAGUGGAGGGAAGAAGCAAAUUAGCUUUAGUGACCACAAGGAUGUGUUCCACUACCCUAAAGAGGAUACCUAUAAAGAGGAGGAGGAGGAGGAGGGGACAGAGGUGGAAGAAGAGGAGGAGGAGGAAGAUGAGGAUGAGGAGGAGGAGGCGGAGGAGGAGGAGGAGGAGGAGGAGGAAGCAGAUGAAGAUGAUCCAGUGAUGGAGGCAGAGAGCCUGGAGUUCAGCUGCGAGGGUCCCAACCCGGAGGAGGAAGCAGAGGAGUAUAACGAUGAGUUUCUGUCAAUGUUAGCGCCUGUUGAGGGUGGCAGUCCUAUCCAUGCAGAUAUGCCUAAAGAAGU
rnacentral:lncRNA from 1 species